AAAAAGUUCCGUAUCCAUUUGACCGUCUGACUUAUUUAAAAAACUUAUAAAAAAAAUAAAUUAAAAAGGCAAGUCACGUAUAAAAUGUUAAUCAUGUUUUAUCAUUUAACAACAAUGAAAAUACGAAUUAUAAAAAAAUUUCAUAUAAGACGGACAGUCAAAGUUGGACAUGGAAAUCUAGGGUUUGUAUUUUU
rfam:Oryza barthii chromosome 4, whole genome shotgun sequence.